AUGGCGCCUGGCUAGUUGCCAGGUUAGGAUUGCCUCGUGAGACUAAGUGGAACGCCCAAAGAGGAAGUAAACAGCAUUGGUUGCUAGCGAAGUUGUUCGUUUAGGUGCACAGCCUGAUUCGCUCCCUCCUGUACCCUGCUCGCUGAUUGGUCAUGUAAGCGUAUAUAAGUGUGUAGACUUGCAGAAAUAAAGAGAGAGAAGAUGCAUCCGAACCAGGGCGUCUUGUCGUCCUUGCAGGGCGAGGGCGAUACAGUAUGACUUCAUUCAUGAGGAAUGAGAGCCAGGACUGGCACAGGGGCUCUGAAUCCCCUCAGACUUCACAGUGUCCCCAUCCUGCCUCUUGGUUUGCAUUGCCUUUCUUUGCAAACCAUCUCUCCUUGUUUCUCUGUUCUUCUUGCAGCAGAAAGCAGCUAUCCUAGAGGUCCCAAUUCUCUUUCUUCUCAGUUCAAGAGACCAGAAGAUAUUCACUGGUAUCUCUCAGAGGCCGAAGUUUCCAGGCUCACAAGCACCAUUUGUCAUCAGUGUUUUCAAGUUUUACCAACCUAAUGGAUGAAAGAUGGCUCUAAUGUGCAUUUCCCUAAUUACAAAGCUGUGCCUAGCUGAACCUACCAGCAAGAUCCUCAGGCUGCCUGACCUCCUGGUCCUUGCCAAGCAUGUGGUCUCAGGCUGCUGUGACAACAUGGAGAAGUAAAGCCAAGUUGCUACCUAGAUUUGGGACUCCCUCCAGUCCGGAGUUGAAGCUUUUUCUGAAAAUGACAGUAACACGACAGCAAUACUAACAACAACAAUCAUCACUUUUAUCUCCCCAGUAAUUGCUGAAGUCCAGGCUGUGUGCUGAGUACCAUAUACGGAUCACCAUCUUUCUCUUUAUAA